AACUGUGAGCUGCCCCUAAGACGUAAGGUCAGUAGCCAACAGCCCAGAAGAAGCUGGCCCUCGGGCACACAGCCACCAGAGACGAAACCUGCCAACACCUGCAUGAGCGUGGAAGCAGAGCCUUCCGCAGCUUGGCAGCCAGCUGAGAACACAGCCUCGCGGACACUGCGACGGCAGCUCUGCGACACUGAGCAGAGGACCAGCUAAGCCGCGCCUGCACUCCGUUCCCACAGGAACGUGGUAUAACAAACAGGUGUUGUUUUAAGCUACUAAGAUAGUGGUACCCAGCAGACCCUAGGGUACAAGGGGGGCUCUAGGAGGUGAGCGCUCAGCAGGCAGGAAGUGAGCCAAACAGAGAGCUGGGGACCAGACUCCCAGGCAGAGCGAGCAGCCAGCGCAGCUGAACGCAGGCCACCGCGUGCCCGCCGGAUGGCUUGUAUCAUCCUCAGUUCUGGCUCCCGCCUGAUGCUGAAGACAGCCUCCUCCCAGAAGCCACUUCCAGUCGAGCCUUCGGAGAGUGACGCUGGCCUGAAUCCAAACCAGACCCAUCAUCGAGAAGAAAGCAGGCUCUAGGUCUCGUCCAGGCCGCUUGGAAUGUUCGCAGCUAGAAGGCCGCCCUCUUGGUUGAGACAGCCUGUCAGGACACGGAGUUUCUGUCCCAGAACUUCGGUUACAAGCUCAGAAAAACGAAGAGUCUUGUCCAGAGCACAACCUCUGAAGAAGCGGAGCAACGCGGAAAUUCCCACGGCCGGGGGAUUGUGCUGCUGGCUCGUCUCCUGGCUCAUGCCGGCUUCCAGUGCUCCUUCCUCUCCCCUGGGAAUGAGAAGGAUAGAAAGGCCCGCUGGCAGAAAAGAGAUCAGACCCCGGAGGGAGAGGAGGUGCUCGGAAGGACUCCCCCAAAGAAGAGGACGUGUCUGCGGAAAAACCAACCAGAGAUGCGCUUUGACCAAAACGCACAGGAAGGAGCCCAGCCUGAGCCCUGAGGGUGAGACACGUGCCUGAGGCCUCUGGUGCUUCAUGGAAAGAUGACUUCCAGGGGUUCCCGGGUUCCCGCCCCUCCUGGGGAGGCAGCCCGAGGAACACAGCUGGGGCAGGUGCGUCUUUAAACAUCUGACGGACCCUGUUCAGCACCAGCGGGUCCCUACUGGAGAGAGGCCUUCCCCUGAGCUCGGGCGGGAAGCCGUUCCGGCACAGCUCCGACGUGACCAAACCCAGCACGUUCACACUGGAGACAAGCCCUUUCAACGCCGUGUGUGCGGCAAAGCCUUUAACUGUGGUUCACAUCCCCUAAAACACGAGCAAACCCACACUGGAGAGAAACUGGAGGGGUGUGAGGAAUGUGGGGGGACCUUCACCCCAGCUCGUGUCUCAUUCGCCGUCGGAAACGU
rnacentral:lncRNA from 1 species